ACGAUACAUUUGGCUCGUUGCUGCUGAAUGUCUCGUAAUUCCUGAUCAUGGCGUAAUUUCUGACCAUGGCGAAGAACUGAACACGUAUGUGGCCAAUUGUGGUCGAUUAAAUUCUCGGUUCUUGGUGGUUUAUCGGACAAACCGUGGUCACGAGCUUGCUAUCAAUCCAAGCAGAAAGCAGACGGCAUGUCACGUUCGCGCAGAGAAGAGGCGAAUCGAUAUCGCUUCGUUCCGUAUGAUUCUUCCCAAUCAUCCAAUCGCCUCGUGAAAAUUGGGAAAAUUUCUACCAAUAGUUACCUGAAUAACCAGUAGCGGGAUCAUGUAUCAUAUGCGUGAUCCACACAAACGCAACCGGAUCAAUUGCAAGCUCUUCAGACAUGUAGAAUAAUCAAAAUGACGCCACGCUGGCUCGUGUUAAUUGAAACUCCGAAUCAGGAAUGACUGUGCGAGUUUUUCUUCAAAUAAUGAAUCAUGCAUAAACGUGGAA
rnacentral:lncRNA from 1 species